UCUUUCAUUUUUAUAAUAUUUGUAAUUCUCAAAACACCUGAUGUACAUCUUCUUGCUUGAUCUUCACAGCAAUGAAGAAGGCACGGAAUGAAAGGUGGCAUAGAUGUGGUCAGCUACAGAUCCUCAUACUGCCUGCAGGAGCCCGGGUUCAUGGGCAGGUCCUCUCAGUUUCACCUUCCUCGUGUGGCAACAGGGAUAACCAUUCAUACUUCACGGAUAAUGCAAGGACCAUUGCUAACAUGUAUGGAUUUAUGAAUGCUGAGAUUGAGAAGGAAUCAUGAGUCUCUACAAGGUUGGAGACCGUGAUGUGCCCUGCCUGGCUGACUCUGGCUUCACACUCUGCAUUGUGUGUGCAGGGAGAUUCUGGAGACUCUGCCAAGGAUCUGGUUACCUCUGCACAACACAGAAGACAGGUUGAGGAGGACAGAAAGCUGAGGGACUUCUUCAGGGAAAAAUAAUCUCAGUGUAGCAUCUCUGUAAGCCGGCCUCCAUUUUACUUGAAGGCUGAAAAGGACCUCUGAAGACGCAUUAACUUACUCAAUAGCUUCCAUUCAGCUUACCAUUACCAGCAAUGACUCUGUUCUGGAAUUCCCCAAGUGUUACUCCCCUCUCCAGUAAACCCCAUGCAGAGCAAUGGCACGCAGGAGACAGUCUCAGCUUCACAUUUGGAAUGAGCCAGUCUAAGAGAUCAUCUUCUUAUGAAGGGACAGAAAGGUUCUCCCUGAAGUUAUGCCAACACAGAGGGACUUGCUUGGAUUUCUUCAAAUCCAUCAUUUGUGUCAUGUCAGGCCAUGACUAUUUAUCUUUGUGA
rnacentral:lncRNA from 1 species